CAACGCCAUGCAUAGGAAUCCCAUCCGUUCGCAAAUGCCACCCCUCCCCCCCCUCCCCCCUUUUUAUUUCACCAUUGUCCGUUUCAUCUUGCAUGCAUUCACGCUGGACUUUAAUUGCGUGCCUCCACGAUGGGCCGUUCUUUGCAUUCAAGUGUACCUGCAAUGUCGACGAUCGCCUCUCCAAUGGUGUGUGCGGACAAAUCGAGCACUUAAUGAGAUCGACACUUGGCUCUGGUGUCGUCCAUGACGUUUACUACUUAUCUAAAUCGUAGCUGUCGAAUUGCUGAUUUGGUGCCCGGUCCUUUAACUACAUAUUCGAGCCCUGCCUGGAAUGCGUUGCGCUUGGUAGAAUGGGCACAGGUACACGGCGCCGCGAUGUGGUGGUCAGUUGAAGUUGUGGCCUUGGUUUGGAUCCUGUUCUCACUGGCUGAUCGUUUGCACGCCGGCCUGGUAUAUAAGUCGGACUGAGGACCCGCAUGGCUACUCCUUCGCCUGAGAGCUCUGGCAUGUGACCAGCGCUAAAGAUUCUCAUCUAUUUAGCAGUGAAUUUUUUAUUGCAGUUAACAGCUCCAAAUUACUAGGUGAAUGGCGCGACGUGGACAACUGACUAAAUGCGAAGACGGCUUGCAUGAAUUUCGCUUGUACUAUCCCAGUGCUGGAAAGAAUCUUGUACCUGUACACACUGUGGCAGUCAUAACUUGCCUUGUCGGUGAAUGUGUCAGAUGAAUCCUUUAAUAACCCGUUCCGCGGAGGCCGGAUUCCGUUCUCAGAGUCUGCGCAGGUGGUUUUGCCGUAAACCGGAAUCUGGGCAACCCGAAAACCUCAGACACGUGAAAGCGGGCUACUUGCAAUGUGAUAUUCUGGUAAUAGUAACAUUGUAGACUUGUGAACCGUUAUUGUGGUUCAUGAACCUCAGUAUGCCAAAGAGAUGUUUCUAUUUUGGGCUGCCGCUGCUCACUAAGUAAAGUAUUUCUUGGAGUCAAAUAUUUCACUGUAAAUCCUGAUUCUCUGAAUGCCAGUGUCCUUCCAAUGUGAUUACAAUCAA